GUUGGUAAGGUAACGGCUUACCAAGGCGAUGAUGCAUAGCCGAGUUGAGAGACUGAUCGGCCACAAUGGAACUGAGACACGGUCCAUACUCCUACGGGAGGCAGCAGUAGGGAAUCUUCCACAAUGGGCGCAAGCCUGAUGGAGCAACACCGCGUGAGUGAAGAAGGGUUUCGGCUCGUAAAGCUCUGUUGUUGGAGAAGAACGUGCGUGAGAGUAACUGUUCACGCAGUGACGGUAUCCAACCAGAAAGUCACGGCUAACUACGUGCCAGCAGCCGCGGUAAUACGUAGGUGGCAAGCGUUAUCCGGAUUUAUUGGGCGUAAAGCGAGCGCAGGCGGUUGCUUAGGUCUGAUGUGAAAGCCUUCGGCUUAACCGAAGAAGUGCAUCGGAAACCGGGCGACUUGAGUGCAGAAGAGGACAGUGGAACUCCAUGUGUAGCGGUGGAAUGCGUAGAUAUAUGGAAGAACACCAGUGGCGAAGGCGGCUGUCUGGUCUGCAACUGACGCUGAGGCUCGAAAGCAUGGGUAGCGAACAGGAUUAGAUACCCUGGUAGUCCAUGCCGUAAACGAUGAGUGCUAGGUGUUGGAGGGUUUCCGCCCUUCA
rnacentral:rRNA from 1 species